CAGAGACGUAAUUUUGUGCAGGGAAAUGGGUGUGUCCAAGCUACUGCAAAGUAACAGUACGCCGUAUUUGCAAACGAACAGGAGAAAACGUCCAGAUCAAUGACACGAAAUCGCGUUUGAUAUAUAAAACAAACUUGUCACAGCCAAGAACUUGGAAAACACGACAACGGAAAAUAAUAAGAUACCCACUGAGGAUGCUACAACUGAGGUGAACCUUGUUUGGGUGAUGAAGUAAAACAAUAAUUUGUGUGCUUACAAAAAGGUGGACUCAUCCUUAAUUCAUUGACAUUUUUCUGCAAACACUGGAACUGAGUCCAAACUCAAUAGGCCUAUGAUGUAAAUAA